rnacentral:tRNA from 1 species
GGUAGCGUGGCUGAGAGGCUUAAGGUAACGGUUUGCUAAACCGUCGAUUCAGAAAUGGGUCCACUGGUUCAAAUCCAGUCGCUAUCGCCA